rnacentral:rRNA from 1 species
CCUACGGGAGGCAGCAGUGAGGAAUAUUGGUCAAUGGGCGAGAGCCUGAACCAGCCAAGUCGCGUGAAGGAUGACGGCCCUACGGGUUGUAAACUUCUUUUGUCAGGGCGCAAUUGGGUCCACGCGUGGGCUUAGCGAGAGUACCUGAAGAAAAAGCAUCGGCGAGAUCCGUGCCAGUAGCCGCGGUACUACGGAGGAUGCGAGCGUUAUCCGGAUUUUUUGGGUUAAAAGGGUGCGUAGGCGGGAUAUCCAGUAAGGGGUAAAAAUUCGGGGCUAAACCCCGUCGUGCCGUUGAAACUGAUGUUCUUGAGUGGGCGAGAAGUAUGCGGAAUGCGUGGUGUAGCGGUGAAAUGCAUAGAUAUCACGCAGAACUCCGAUUGCGAAGGCAGCAUACCGGCGCCCAACUGACGCUGAAGCACGAAAGCGUGGGUAUCGAACAGGAUUAGAUACCCCAGUAGUC